rnacentral:lncRNA from 1 species
GCUGUCAAUUAUUAAGAGAGUAUCUCACUGGCCUUGAAAUUACUAUGAAAUGGCUUGGACCCUUGAUCCUUCUACCUCUGUCUCCUGAAUGCUGGGAUUACAGGUAAGUGCCUGUGACCAUACCAAACUAGAACAUUGAUAUCUUGAAUGUUCACCAAAGACUUCUUAUCAGCUUAUAGUCCUAAUGAGGGGAUAUAUCCUUAAGGAAGAUAUUGGGGGCCUGCCUCUAUUCUAUUGCUUCUCCCUGCCGUGAGGUGAGCAGGCUUCUUCCUUAGCCACAAGUGCCCACCAUGAUGUAAUAAACCAUAGCCAAAGAAGGGACGAAACAGACUUGGAAAACUGAGCUAAAGAAAUUCUCUGGUUAGUUAGGGCAUUUAUUAUAGUAACAGAAAGCUAACAUCUUUAUUUUUAAGAUUUUUUUUUUAGCAGAUAGGAAUUUGUUUUCUUUAAUCAGAUAUUCUUUGCUUUGUAUGAUUUCUGAUGAAAAGUCGGCUGUUCUUUUAUGUGUGCUUGUGAAUGUAGAAUGUCUCUAACUGCUGCUGUAACACUCUGAAUGUACCCAAUUGUUGUGGAGCCUUAGGGUUUUAAUUGUAAGUAAGGAGAAAUAUUUGGCUGUCUCUUCAAGUUUCAUCCCUGUACUUUUACUCUCCAGCUAUCCCCAGGCUAGACCAUGUGGUUAUUUCCCCACAGGCCACAUCAGUGAUUCUCAAUCUCCUUUUCUUGUACUUGUUUGGUUCCUUCUGAUAAGUUAAAAUUCAUACAUCUUUCUAACUGUAUUGUCUAAUCUGUGUACUCCCCACCAGGGUAUAUUCUAGAAAUUCCACUUGCUGAGUUUAAGUAUUUUUCUCAGUAUGUUCACUUCCUUUUACAUCCUUGAAAAUAUAAUAGCUAUUUUUAAAGUCCUUA